rnacentral:rRNA from 1 species
AGCGAACGCUGGCGGCAGGCUUAACACAUGCAAGUCGAGCGGACCUUUCGGGGUCAGCGGCGGACGGGUGAGUAACGCGUGGGAACGUGCCUUCCGGUUCGGAAUAACCCUGGGAAACUAGGGCUAAUACCGGAUACGCCCUUAUGGGGAAAGGUUUACUGCCGGACGAUCGGCCCGCGUCUGAUUAGCUAGUUGGUGGGGUAACGGCCUACCAAGGCGACGAUCAGUAGCUGGUCUGAGAGGAUGAUCAGCCACACUGGGACUGAGACACGGCCCAGACUCCUACGGGAGGCAGCAGUGGGGAAUAUUGGACAAUGGGCGCAAGCCUGAUCCAGCCAUGCCGCGUGAGUGAUGAAGGCCUUAGGGUUGUAAAGCUCUUUUAUCCGGGACGAUAAUGACGGUACCGGAGGAAUAAGCCCCGGCUAACUUCGUG